rnacentral:rRNA from 1 species
GGGGCAGCACGGUGUAGCAAUACACUGGGUGGCGACCGGCGCACGGGUGCGUAACGCGCAUGCAACCUACCCAUAACAGGGGGAUAACACUGAGAAAUUGGUACUAAUACCCCAUAACAUCAGGACCGGCAUCGGUUCUGGUUGAAAACUCCGGUGGUUAUGGAUGGGCAUGCGUUGUAUUAGCUGGUUGGUGAGGUAACGGCUCACCAAGGCAACGAUACAUAGGGGGACUGAGAGGUUAACCCCCCACAUUGGUACUGAGACACGGACCAAACUCCUACGGGAGGCAGCAGUGAGGAAUAUUGGUCAAUGGACGCAAGUCUGAACCAGCCAUGCCGCGUGCAGGAAGACGGCUCUAUGAGUUGUAAACUGCUUUUGUACGAGAGUAAACGCUCUUACGUGUAAGAGCCUGAAAGUAUCGUACGAAUAAGGAUCGGCUAACUCCGUGCCAGCAGCCGCGGUAAUACGGAGGAUCCAAGCGUUAUCCGGAUUUAUUGGGUUUAAAGGGUGCGUAGGCGGUUUGAUAAGUUAGAGGUGAAAUACCGGUGCUUAACACCGGAACUGCCUCUAAUACUGUUGAACUAGAGAGUAGUUGCGGUAGGCGGAAUGUAUGGUGUAGCGGUGAAAUGCUUAGAGAUCAUACAGAACACCGAUUGCGAAGGCAGCUUACCAAACUAUAUCUGACG